AAUUUAACAGCGGAAUUCGACAAUUUCACGGCUUGUACUGAUUUUCAAAGCGUUUCAUUACGUUUUAAAUAUGUAUGUGAAGUUAGCGGCCGGUUCGUUAUUCGAUAUUCGAUAUUAAAUAAAAUUAUCCAACCGGCUGCUUGAUAAUAUUAAAAGCAUGAUUUUCAUAGUUAAGAGGAGUGAAAAGAUACAUAGGAAAUCGUUUUAUGAGCCCUUCAAGCUGUCAUAGAUUCUCGUUGUCCUCGAAUUUAAACCCUUCGUAAGUUGCAUAAUUGUCUUUAUGUAAUAUAUAGUUUUUAUCAAUAAAACAACAUUAAAGAUGUAUUUUAUAUAUAAUAAUUCUUAAAACAAUAAAAAAAAAACAUAGAGCUAAAAACAUUUAGAAAUAUAAAUAUAAAUAAUUAUGGAAAGCCCCCUCCCCUCCCCCAAAAAAUGUAUAAUGAAAACCUACCGGAAUCCACC
rnacentral:lncRNA from 1 species